AUUGAACGCUGGCGGCAGGCUUUACACAUGCAAGUCGAACGGCAGCGGGGAGGAGCUUGCUUAUCUGCCGGCGAGUGGCGAACGGGUGAGUAAUACAUCGGAACGUGUCGAGAAGAGGGGGAUAACCACCCGAAAGGGUGGCUAAUACCGCAUAAAUUCUGAGGAAGAAAGCUGGGGACCUGGGAAUAGGCCUAGCGCUUGUUAAGCGGCCGAUGUCGGAUUAGCUAGUUGGUGAGGUAAAGGCUCACCAAGGCGAAGAUCUGUAGCGGGUCUGAGAGGAUGGUCCGCCACACUGGGACUGAGACACGGCCCAGACUCCUACGGGAGGCAGCAGUGGGGAAUUUUAGACAAUGGGGGCAACCCUGAUCCAGCCAUGCCGCGUGUAGGAAGAAGGCCUUAGGGUUGUAAAGUACUUUUGUUAGGGAAGAAAAGUCAGAUGUGAAUAAUGGCUGAUACUGACGGUACCUAAAGAAUAAGCACCGGCUAACUACGUG
rnacentral:rRNA from 1 species